rnacentral:rRNA from 1 species
AGAGUUUGAGUUAUGGCUCAGGAUGAACGCUGGCGGCGUGCUUAACACAUGCAAGUCGAACGGAGUUUUUAAACGGAAGUUUUCGGAUGGAAGUUUAGAAACUUAGUGGCGGACGGGUGAGUAACGCGUGGGUAACCUGCCUCAUACAGGGGGAUAACAGUUAGAAAUGACUGCUAACACCGCAUAAUAUAGCGAAACCGCAUGAUUUUUGCUAUCAAAUAUUUUAUAGGUAUGAGAUGGGCCCGCGUCUGAUUAGCUAGUUGGUGGGGUAAAAGCCUACCAAGGCGACGAUCAGUAGCCGGCUUGAGAGAGUGACCGGCCACAUUGGGACUGAGACACGGCCCAAACUCCUACGGGAGGCAGCAGUGGGGAAUAUUGGACAAUGGGGGAAACCCUGAUCCAGCCGACGCCGCGUGAGUGAAGAAGUAUUUCGGUAUGUAAAGCUCUAUCAGCAGGGAAGAUAAUGACAGUACCUGACUAAGAAGCCCCGGCUAACUACGUGCCAGCCGCCGC